GAUGAACGCUGGCGGCGUGCCUAAUACAUGCAAGUCGAGCGAACAGACGAGGAGCUUGCUCCUCUGACGUUAGCGGCGGACGGGUGAGUAACACGUGGAUAACCUACCUAUAAGACUGGGAUAACUUCGGGAAACCGGAGCUAAUACCGGAUAAUAUAUUGAACCGCAUGGUUCAAUAGUGAAAGACGGUUUUGCUGUCACUUAUAGAUGGAUCCGCGCCGCAUUAGCUAGUUGGUAAGGUAACGGCUUACCAAGGCGACGAUGCGUAGCCGACCUGAGAGGGUGAUCGGCCACACUGGAACUGAGGCACGGUCCAGACUCCUACGGGAGGCAGCAGUUGGGAAUCUUCCGCAAUGGGCGAAAGCCUGACGGAGCAACGCCGCGUGAGUGAUGAAGGUCUUCGGAUCGUAAAACUCUGUUAUUAGGGAAGAACAAAUGUGUAAGUAACUAUGCACGUCUUGACGGUACCUAAUCAGAAAGCCACGGCUAACUACGUG
rnacentral:rRNA from 1 species